UGAAAACUGUAGUGGACAUCAACCGGCAAAAAUGGCAAGAUUCAAAGCAACACUUUAUCUCGCCUUUAUCACCCUCUUUAUCAUAAAUAAUUACGCCGAGGCCCAAAACAAAAACCGAAAAGUAACCACCCCCCAAAAGCUGAGCUUUACCGACGACCUCGUGGACAUGAUCCUCGGCUUUAUUUUUGACCUGGUGGACACCUUUCAAGGCGUGAUGGACAUGUUCGGCGCCGUCGGCCGCAAAAAACGCUCGAUUCUGUCACAAGUUCUAACAAAAUAAAGCCUACUUACCACGUC